CAAAGAGCACGCGCAUUUUUUGCGGUCCGGAGCUGUAGGAGAAACACAAAUUAACUCAGAGACACAGACUGAUGCGACAAAACCAGUAAACAUGGCUGGUAAGGACAUGAGGAGGAAACAGUAGGAGCCGUGUGAGGCUACUAAAGGCAGUGGAUCCCUCAGCAGCUGGAUUACAAAGAGCACAGUCUCAGAUCAGCACAGCCCUGCCCUCCAGCACUACCAGCAGCAGGAGCAGCAGCAACCCCUCAACAGCAACAUUGUACCCAUCAGCUUUGAGCACCCGCCCCUAUAAACGUCUCUGCACGGCCCUGCCUGGAAGCAUUAUGAGGGAGCUUAUGUGUUGGAUGUUACCAAAAGAAGGCGUCUAGCCUGGAUAGCAGCUGCGAGACGAGCUGAUAUUCAGUUCUCUACCAUCCACAGAUAUCUGUUGGUGUGCUCCAGUAUUUUCAUUCAGCAAACCAGCCUAUGAAAUGAAUGAAACAAAUCCUGACUGGGUUCCAACACUACACAUGGGGCACUACGAAA
ensembl:lncRNA